GUUUCAGGUGCAUCUUUUCGAUCUCCUCGUCACCGCCUCGGUGCCGGUUCAGGAGAGCAGUGCGAACAAAUACGAAAGACGGCUCAGACCAUGAAAUUACCCUAGAGAAGCAGACCACCCCACUAUUUCUUCAGUUGGUGUAGUGACCGAAUUCUCCAGACCAAAAAUCAAGGACAUACUCCUCCUGUCCUGGAAAAAUUCAAGGAUGACCUCUUCCAUGAGCCAGCCCUUCACCAGUUGAAAGUGCCUGGGAGUGAAGUCCAAAAUAUUUUUGCUCUAAUCCACUUCUGCCACCACCACUGGGAACCAUUAGGCAGGUCACCUCAUAGUUUAGGGCUUCAGUUCUCUCACUAGUUAAACAAAGAAAACAGAAGAAUUGAUUUCUGAAGUCUCUUUAAAAGUUUUGUCCCUGCUCACCCCUUCGCAUAUAACAGGAAUACUGUCACAUUUUUGUACAAAAAAUAUGGAACCAAGAAAGGGAUUUUAAGGA